rnacentral:rRNA from 1 species
GACAGAGGGGGCAAGCGUUGUCCGGAGUUACUGGGCGUAAAGCGCACGCAGGCGGCCGCGCAAGUGGGGUGUGAAAGCGGGCGGCUCAACCGCCCGAGGCCAUCUCAGACUGCGUAGCUCGAGCCGUUCAGAGGUCCCUCGAAUUGCCGGUGUAGUGGUGAAAUGCGUAGAGAUCGGCAGGAAGACCCACGGGGAAGCCAGGGGACUGGGAACCGGCUGACGCUCAGGUGCGAGAGCGUGGGGAGCGAACCGG